CCAGACUCCUACGGGAGGCAGCAGUGAGGAAUAUUGGUCAAUGGGCGCGAGCCUGAACCAGCCAAGUCGCGUGAGGGAGGACGGCCCUACGGGUUGUAAACCUCUUUUGCCGGGGAGCAACGGGCGCCACGUGUGGCGCCACUGAGAGUACCCGGAGAAAAAGCAUCGGCUAACUCCGUGCCAGCAGCCGCGGUAAUACGGAGGAUGCGAGCGUUAUCCGGAUUUAUUGGGUUUAAAGGGUGCGUAGGCGGAUCGUUAAGUCAGGGGUAAAAUGGGGGGGCACACCCCCUCCCCGCCAUUGAAACUGGCGAUCUUGAGUGGAAGAGAAGUAUGCGGAAUGCGUGGUGUAGCGGUGAAAUGCAUAGAUAUACGGAGGAACACCAGUGGCGAAGGCGGAUUGCUGGACAGUAACUGACGCUGAGGCGCGAAAGCGUGGGGAGCAAACAGGAUUAGAUACCCCAGUA
rnacentral:rRNA from 1 species